UUACAAUGGAUUUUAAGAGGCUGUUUCUGCCUGUGAGGAACAAAGGGCAAGAGGGAGGGAUUGUGGUUGAGCUCUGCCUUGGGCAGAGCUGCUGGUACUUAGUUUUUAAGGGGUGGUAGUGGGGAAGCAGCAGUUCUUGGCUUUGAGGAGUGUUUAUAGGCAGAGAUGAAGCUAAAAUGAAGCUCUUGGGGAUGGGGGCUGCCCGAGCCAGUUCUGCUCUGGCUCAUCAGGGAAGGCAGGAGAGAGUGCAGAGGGGCACUGCUCUCUGAAAUGUUAUGUUCUGGCAAUUAAAAUUCUUUCACAGAAUCACAGAUUGUUCUGAGUUGGAAGGGACCCACAAGGAUCAUCAGACUCCAACUCCUGGCCCUGCACAGGACAGCCCCAAGAAUCUAGCCUUGUGCCUGAGAAGUCCUUGAGCUCUGGCAGGUUUGGAUCUCAAUUUGAAUCCACCUCUGUUGAUACGAGUCUGCUGAGAAGAUGAAAAUCAGCCGUUUGCCUGGAGCCACCACUGCACAGGAAGGAGCUCUCAGGUCCCCCUGGAGCCUUCUCCAGACUGAACAACCUCAGGUCUCCCAGCCUGUCUUUGUGGCAGAGGUGCUCCAGCUCCCAGAACAUCUUCAUGGCUGAUACUGCCAUGUCCCUCCCAAAAGCAGAUGUUCUCAAUGUACAACAGUCCCAGGGCUGGUGACUCUCUUUUACUCAGAGCUACAGCAGACUCGCAGAGGAGCUCUCAGGUGGUGUUAUCCAUAGGGUAACUGGAAUUUUCCUUCUCUGUAUGUGUGCACAAUGCUCAAAUCAUGUUAGGGCAGAAAUAGAGUUGUUUUGGAGAGCCUUUCCUAGGAUCUCAUUGAAGUUCCUCUGAAAGAGUUUUCCAGGAGUCCUGCUUAUAGAAAAAUUAAUCUGGUAGUAGUGACAGAAGAUGGGGAGGCAAGGGCAAGGCAGAGGGGGCUGAAAGAAGGUUGAUUUACAGAAAAACUGUAAUAGCUCAUAAGACAAGUCUUCAUCUGCAAGCCUGGAGAGAGUCAUGAGGGCUGGGAGUUGUUAGAAGGAUGUGCCAUGGGAUCAGAGGUAGGAACAGCACGAAAAAGCAUUUCUGAAGAGGUGGGAGCAGCAGUCCUGGUUGUUAGCAAGGAAUAUUUCCUUGCUGGUCUUGAGAUGUCACAGACCAUCCUAACAACCAGUGGUCUUGGACAGGAGAGUUUAAAAGGAGCUGGAAUUUGUCUGCCCUCACAGGAAAUGAGUGCUGGCAGGUUUGGGUUGAUCUGGAGGAGAAAAGAAGUGUUUGGAUGGGUAGAGUUGUUUGUCAGGUGAAUUUGCCUCCCUGUGUGGUGCAGCAGUUGCUGUAAAUCAGCCUUAAAGAAUCUGUGGCUCUUGAAUGUGGCCUGCAUGUGUGCAGUCAGCGAGGAUUUUUGGGGCAAGACCUUUUGAUCUGGACCCUGAACAGCAGGACUGGGAGGAGAAAAGGAAAAUGGCAAUGUUUGCCGAGUGCUGCUCCCCAAAUACUCUUUAGGCACAUCUUAGUGCAGCACAGAAACAGAAGGGAUCUACUUACGAGGCUACGGGUUUCUAUCCUUGGAUCCUGUUUGAAUACACUCUGUCCCAGAGUUGUUUUGCAUUUCACCAGGGAGUCUUUUGUCUAAAGGGCAUCGCUGCUACAGCAAAGUGGAGCUGUGCCUGCCCCUGCUUUCUCCAGUGGAUAUCACAUUUCAUUACCCUGAUGAGCCUGAGCGAGUUCUCCCGGUUGUGUUAAUUUGCCCACAAGCCAGCCUGUGUCACGUCCGCAAGAAGUCUGUGACAUUUUCCAGCCUCCCCCAUCCCUCCCGGUUCCGAAACCUCGAAUAAUAAUCACAGCCCUGUCCCUUUUUCUACUUCUUGCUUCUGAAACGGAGGGGCCGAGACAUCCCCUUUCCUCAGCGUGCGGGCAGUGUCAGCCCUGGGCUGUGGGAGGCAUCCCCCUCCCAGGGCUCAGUGUUGGUGUCCUGGGGGGCUGCCAGGGCUCAGGGCAGGGUGAGCAGAGCAGGGUGGCUUGCACAGCCUCAGUUUUUGUAGUUUGGAGCUCACCAGUGGAAGAGUGCAGUGGCUGGGUUGGCAUCGUCCUAAGCUUUGGGCUGGUGUGCGUGGAGGAGUAGGGUGCUCCUAUGCGCUUAACACCCUCAUACCUUUUUUCCCCUCCCCAAAGCAUGGGUGCAGCCCUAAGGAAAGGGCCACACCUCCUUGGACAGUAAAUGUUUUAAACCUGGGGUCUGA